ACGCUAGCUAUAGGCUUAACACAUGCAAGUCGAGGGGAAACGGCAUUAUGUGCUUGCACAUUUUGGACGUCGACCGGCGCACGGGUGAGUAUCGCGUAUCCAACCUGCCCUUUACUUGGGGAUACCCCGUUGAAAGACGGCCUAAUACCCGAUGUAAUUCAUUGAUGGCAUCAGAUAUGAAUAAAAGAUUUAUCGGUAAAGGAUGGGGAUGCGUCUGAUUAGCUUGUUGGUGAGGUAAAGGCUCACCAAGGCAACGAUCAGUAGGGGUUCUGAGAGGAAGGUCCCCCACAUUGGAACUGAGACACGGUCCAAACUCCUACGGGAGGCAGCAGUGAGGAAUAUUGGUCAAUGGGCGCAAGCCUGAACCAGCCAAGUAGCGUGCAGGAAGACGGCCCUAUGGGUUGUAAACUGCUUUUAUACGAGAAUAAAUUGAUGCACGUGUGCGUUAUUGCAUGUAUCGUAUGAAUAAGGACCGGCUAAUUCCGUGCCAGCAGCCGCGGUAAUACGGAAGGUCCAGGCGUUAUCCGGAUUUAUUGGGUUUAAAGGGAGUGUAGGCGGUUUGUUAAGCGUGUUGUGAAAUUUAGGUGCUCAACAUUUAACUUGCAGCGCGAACUGUCAGACUUGAGUACACGCAACGUAUGCGGAAUUCAUGGUGUAGCGGUGAAAUGCUUAGAUAUCAUGAAGAACUCCGAUUGCGAAGGCAGCAUACGGGAGUGUAACUGACGCUUAAGCUCGAAGGUGCGGGUAUCGAACAGGAUUAGAUACCCUGGUAGUCCGCACAGUAAACGAUGGAUGCCCGCUGUUAGCGCCUGGCGUUAGCGGCUAAGCGAAAGCAUUAAGCAUCCCACCCUGGGGAGUACGCCGGCAACGGUGAAACUCAAAGGAAUUGACGGGGGCCCGCACAAGCG
rnacentral:rRNA from 1 species